rnacentral:lncRNA from 1 species
UGGAUCCUCCCUGGAUCCGGGAUCCUCCCUGAACCAGCCCCUGCUCCUCCCGGGACCCUCCUGGGAUCCUCCUGGGAUCUGGGAUCCACCCUGGAUCCUCCCUGGAUCAACCCCUGCUCCUCCCGGGAUCCUCCUGGGAUCUGGGAUCCACCCUGGAUCCUCCCUGGAUCCGGGAUCCUCCCUGAACCAGCCCCUGCUCCUCCCAGGAUCUGGGGGUUUUGGGAUCCUCCCUGGAUCAACCCCUGCUCCUCCCGGGAUCCUCCUGGGAUCUGGGAUCCUCCCUGGAUCCGGGAUCCACCCUGAACCAACCCCUGCUCCUCCCAGGAUCCGGAGUUUUGGGAUCCCCCCUGAAUAAAUCCCUUCUUUUCCCACUGAUUUUGUUUUUAUUUUUUUUGGGUGUUUGGGUCAUUCCCGGAGCCCUCAAAUCCCGCCGGAUCCUCCCCUAAAAAAAAUCCCCAAAAUCCCCAAAAUUCCCAAAAUUCCGAGGCUCUUUUCUUCCCAGAUCUGAUUUUAUUGGGGGAUCCGGGAAUUCCGGGAUCGCUUCCCGCUGCCCCGGGAUCCCGGCGGGAAUUUGGGGGGAAAUUCGCCGGGGGAACCCCGGGGGAAUCCCUGGGAAUUCCCGGGAAUUCCCGGAUGGGCUCAUCCCUGCUGGGGCGGGCAGGGCUCCCCGGGACGCUCCAGGUGGAUUCUGGGGCGGAUUCCAGCGGGACUGGGAGGCGGAGAGGGGAUUCCCGGGAAUGCUGAGGGAUUCCUGGGGGAUUCCUGGGAAUGCUGAGGGAUUCCCGGGAAUGCUGAGGGAUUCCCAGGAUUCCCGGGGGAUUCCC